UACGAAGGGGGCUAGCGUUGCUCGGAAUCAUUGGGCGUAAAGGGUGCGUAGGCGGGUCUUUAAGUCAGAGGUGAAAUCCUGGAGCUCAACUCCAGAACUGCCUUUGAUACUGAAGAUCUUGAGUUCGGGAGAGGUGAGUGGAACUUCGAGUGUAGAGGUGAAAUUCGUAGAUAUUCGAAAGAACACCAGUGGCGAAGGCGGCUCACUGGCCCGAUACUGACGCUGAGGCACGAAAGCGUGGGGAGCAAACAGG
rnacentral:rRNA from 1 species